rnacentral:rRNA from 1 species
UACAGAGGGUGCGAGCGUUAAUCGGAAUUACUGGGCGUAAAGGGCGCGUAGGCGGAAAUGUAAGUCAGAUGUGAAAGCCCUGGGCUUAACCUGGGAACUGCAUAUGAAACUGUAUUUCUAGAGAGGAGUAGAGGGUAGUGGAAUUUCCGGUGUAGCGGUGAAAUGCGUAGAUAUCGGAAGGAACACCAGUGGCGAAGGCGGCUACCUGGACUCCAGCUGACGCUGAGGCGCGAAAGCGUGGGGAGCGAACAGG